rnacentral:rRNA from 1 species
GUGGGGAAUAUUGGACAAUGGGCGAAAGCCUGAUCCAGCCAUGCCGCGUGUGUGAAGAAGGUCUUCGGAUUGUAAAGCACUUUAAGUUGGGAGGAAGGGUAGUAACCUAAUACGUUGCUACUUUGACGUUACCGACAGAAUAAGCACCGGCUAACUUCGUGCCAGCAGCCGCGGUAAUACGAAGGGUGCAAGCGUUAAUCGGAAUUACUGGGCGUAAAGCGCGCGUAGGUGGUUCGUUAAGUUGGAUGUGAAAGCCCCGGGCUCAACCUGGGAACUGCAUCCAAAACUGGCGAGCUAGAGUACGGUAGAGGGUGGUGGAAUUUCCUGUGUAGCGGUGAAAUGCGUAGAUAUAGGAAGGAACACCAGUGGCGAAGGCGACCACCUGGACUGAUACUGACACUGAGGUGCGAAAGCGUGGGGAGCAAACAGGAUUAGAAACCCCAGUAGUCC